ACGAACGCUGGCGGCGUGCUUCACACAUGCAAGUCGAACGGAAAGGCCCUGCUUUUGUGGGGUGCUCGAGUGGCGAACGGGUGAGUAACACGUGAGUAACCUGCCCUUGACUUUGGGAUAACUUCAGGAAACUGGGGCUAAUACCGGAUAGGAGCUCCUGCUGCAUGGUGGGGGUUGGAAAGUUUCGGCGGUUGGGGAUGGACUCGCGGCUUAUCAGCUUGUUGGUGGGGUAGUGUCUUACCAAGGCUUUGACGGGUAGCCGGCCUGAGAGGGUGACCGGCGACAUUGGGACUGAGAUACGGACCAGACUCCUACGGGAGGCAGCAGUGGGGAAUAUUGCACAAUGGGCGGAAGCCUGAUGCAGCAACGCCGCGUGCGGGAUGACGGCCUUCGGGUUGUAAACCGCUUUCGCCUGUGACGAAGCGUGAGUGACGGUAAUGGGUAAAGAAGCACCGGCUAACUACGUG
rnacentral:rRNA from 1 species